AUGUAGACUUGAAGUAACUCAAGUAUACAGAACCAUAAGAUUCUGAAGAGAACAAUCUCAAGAUGAAAAUCACGGUUCCAUGUGCUUUCUUCACUCAACUAGUGUUUAUGAAGACUGUAUUAUAAUCCAAAUAGUAUGUUUCAUACUGAGAAAGAGAGGGAGAAAAGUGUGGCUUUGCCUCAAGGCACCAAAGGCGAUCUCAAAAUAGACUGAUAUUAGUAUUUUCAAUAUCUGGAUUAUACAAUCCAUGGUCAUGAAACUUUUUUCAGAGUUUGAGCUGGGGUGGAGGGGAGAAGCUAACAGUACACAAAUAUUGCAGAAGAGAAGAUUAUCAUAAGAAUUCCGAUAUGAUUGGAGGAGAGUGCAUGCAGCUAUGAAUAAGAGAAGAUGAGAAUCCAGAUGCUGGUGGACUUUAUACCACACUAAAGAGUUUGACCUGUAUCCUACAAACAUCAGGGGUGUUUAAAUGAGGUAGAGAUAUGAAGCAGUGCAUUCGUUUUAUUAAUGAAAGAUAAAGGUCAGAAUGGACUGAAGGAAAUGACAAGGGGAGAUGACUGGACAUACAGAUUGAGAAGUCAUCUGCACAUGGAAAUACAGCUCAUAAUAUAAGAUAAGGCUAUUGGUAAAAAUGGGAUCACGUACGGCUGCUGUAAAAGAAAAGAAAUGAAGAUCAACGAUCGUACCUUUGCAUACUGAGGGAACACCCAUACAAUGCAGUAGGUGAGCCCAUUGAAA